rnacentral:rRNA from 1 species
UACGGGGGGGGCAAGCGUUGUUCGGAAUUACUGGGCGUAAAGGGCUCGUAGGCGGCCAACUAAGUCAGACGUGAAAUCCCUCGGCUUAACCGGGGAACUGCGUCUGAUACUGGAUGGCUUGAGUUUGGGAGAGGGAUGCGGAAUUCCAGGUGUAGCGGUGAAAUGCGUAGAUAUCUGGAGGAACACCGGUGGCGAAGGCAGCACUCUGGGACGGUACUGACGCUGAGACGCGAAAGCGUGGGGAGCAAACAGG